AGCUUCAGUAGCGUAUAUUAAAGUUGUUGCAGUUAAAAAGCUCGUAGUCGCAUUUCUGGCGAGAGGAUCCGGUCCGACCUUUUGGUGGGUUCUUGGGUCUCUUUCGCCAUCCUUGAGUGGUCCGUUCUGGCAUUAGGUUGUCGGAGCGUCAGCCGCUCAUCGUUUACUGUGAGAAAAUUAGAGUGUUCAAAGCAGGCUUAUGCCGUUGAAUAUAUUAGCAUGGAAUAAUAAGAUAGGACCUCGGUACUAUUUUGUUGGUUUGCGCACCAAGGUAAUGAUGAACAGGGACAGUUGGGGGUAUUUGUAUUUCGUUGUCAGAGGUGAAAUUCUUAGAUUUCUGAAAGACGAACUACUGCGAAAGCAUUUACCAAGGAUGUUUUCA
rnacentral:rRNA from 1 species